rnacentral:rRNA from 1 species
UUGAAAGGGAAACGAUUGAAGUCAGUCAUGCUGGUGAGGAAUCAACAUGAGGGUUCGCUUUCGUGUGCACUUGUUCGCUUGGCAGGUUAGCAUCAAUUUUGGUCGUCAUAAAAUUAUCGGGGUAAGGUGGCUCCCCUCGGGGAGUGUUAUAGACCUUGGUAGAUGUGAUGACCGGGAUUGAGGAUUGCAGCGAAUGCUGCUUGGCUAGUCACCUGAUUUCUGUUGAUCACCUCACCGCGAUAGCUUGCUAACCUCGGUGGGAUCUGAUUAACUAGAGAUUAGACUGAUCGUUAAUUCGUUAAGGAUGUUGACGUA